GACGAACGCUGGCGGCGUGCUUAACACAUGCAAGUCGAACGGAAAGGCCUGCUUUCCCUUGUGGAUUGCGGGUACUCGAGUGGCGAACGGGUGAGUAACACGUGGGUGAUCUGCCCCCAACUUGGGUAUAAGCCUGGGAAACUGGGUCUAAUUCCCGAUAGGACUGCAGGGUGGUGCCUGUGGUGGAAAACGAUUUUCUAGUGGUUGGGGAUGAGCUCGCGGCCUAUCAGCUUGUUGGUGGGGUAAUGGCCUACCAAGGCGGCGACGGGUAGCCGGCCUGGGGGCGUGGGCGCGCACAUUGGGGCUGAGCUGCGACACAGACUCGUGCGGGAGGAAGCGGGGGGGAAGGUCCAACACGGGGAGGACGCCUGGGGCGGCGACGCCGUGUGGGGGAUGACGGCCGUCGUGGUGUACACCGCCACCGACCGGGAGGAAGCCACGGGGGUGGGAGGGUGGGGGCGGUGGUGGAAGAAGAAGCACAGGAUAACUACGGGCCAGCAGCCGCAGUAAUAAUCGGACUACACACGUCUCAUC
rnacentral:rRNA from 1 species